UGCAAGUCGAACGAUGAAGCCCAGCUUGCUGGGUGGAUUAGUGGCGAACGGGUGAGUAACACGUGAGUAACCUGCCCUUGACUCUGGGAUAAGCCUGGGAAACUGGGUCUAAUACCGGAUAUGACCUUCCAUCGCAUGGUGGUUGGUGGAAAGCUUUUGUGGUUUUGGAUGGACUCGCGGCCUAUCAGCUUGUUGGUGGGGUAAUGGCCUACCAAGGCGAUGACGGGUAGCCGGCCUGAGAGGGUGACCGGCCACACUGGGACUGAGACACGGCCCAGACUCCUACGGGAGGCAGCAGUGGGGAAUAUUGCACAAUGGGCGCAAGCCUGAUGCAGCGACGCCGCGUGAGGGAUGACGGCCUUCGGGUUGUAAACCUCUUUCAGUAGGGAAGAAGCGAAAGUGACGGUACCUGCAGAAGAAGCGCCGGCUAACUACGUGCCAGCAGCCGCGGUAAUACGUAGGGCGCAAGCGUUAUCCGGAAUUAUUGGGCGUAAAGAGCUCGUAGGCGGUUUGUCGCGUCUGCUGUGAAAGACCGGGGCUCAACUCCGGUUCUGCAGUGGGUACGGGCAGACUAGAGUGAUGUAGGGGAGACUGGAAUUCCUGGUGUAGCGGUGAAAUGCGCAGAUAUCAGGAGGAACACCGAUGGCGAAGGCAGGUCUCUGGGCAUUAACUGACGCUGAGGAGCGAAAGCAUGGGGAGCGAACAGGAUUAGAUACCCUGGUAGUCCAUGCCGUAAACGUUGGGCACUAGGUGUGGGGGACAUUCCACGUUUUCCGCGCCGUAGCUAACGCAUUAAGUGCCCCGCCUGGGGAGUACGGCCGCAAGGCUAAAACUCAAAGGAAUUGACGGGGGCCCGCACAAGCGGCGGAGCAUGCGGAUUAAUUCGAUGCAACGCGAAGAACCUUACCAAGGCUUGACAUGGACUGGACCGCUCUGGAAACAGGGCUUCCCUUCGGGCUGGUUCACA
rnacentral:rRNA from 2 species